UACAGAGGGUGCAAGCGUUGUUCGGAAUUAUUGGGCGUAAAGGGCAGGUAGGUUGUCUAUCAAGACUGCUGUGAAAUCCCUGGGCUUAACCCAGGAAGUGCGGCGGUGACUGAUAGACUAGAGUGCUGGAGGGGUUCGUGGAAUACCCGGUGUAGCGGUGAAAUGCGUAGAUAUCGGGUGGAACACCAGAGGCGAAGGCGGCGAACUGGACAGUAACUGACACUAAACUGCGAAAGCGUGGGGAGCAAACAGG
rnacentral:rRNA from 1 species